rnacentral:rRNA from 1 species
UACGUAGGGGGCUAGCGUUGUCCGGAAUCAUUGGGCGUAAAGAGCGUGUAGGCGGUCGACCAAGUCGCGUGUGAAAGCCCCCGGCUCAACUGGGGAGGGUCACGCGAUACUGAUCGACUCGAAGGCAGGAGAGGGUAGUGGAAUUCCCGGUGUAGUGGUGAAAUGCGUAGAUAUCGGGAGGAACACCAGUGGCGAAGGCGACUACCUGGCCUGUUCUUGACGCUGAGGCGCGAAAGCUAAGGGGAGCAAACGGGG